rnacentral:pre_miRNA from 1 species
AUUCUACUCCCUCUGUUACACAAUACAUGCCUUAUAUUUGUCAAAAUAUAGAUGUAUCUAGACAUGUUUUGUAUAUGGUACAUCCAUUUUUGGACAAAUGGAAGUCAAGUAUUUUGGAACGGAGGGAGUACACA